UACGGGGGGAGCAAGCGUUGUUCGGAUUUACUGGGCGUAAAGGGCUCGUAGGCGGCCAACUAAGUCGGACGUGAAAUCCCUCAGCUUAACUGGGGAACUGCGUCCGAUACUGGAUGGCUUGGAUUUGGGAGAGGGAUGCGGAAUUCCUGGUGUAGCGGUGAAAUGCGCAGAUAUCAGGAGGAACACCUAUUGCGAAGGCAGCUCGCUGGGACGUUACUGACGCUGAGACGCGAAAGCGUGGGGAGCAAACAGG
rnacentral:rRNA from 1 species